rnacentral:snoRNA from 12 species
ACUGGCAAGGAUGACAUGCACUUGCCCUCACUGAGACCACGGUCCAUUGCUGAGAGCGUUGUUCUGAGCCCGU